rnacentral:rRNA from 1 species
AGCAUAAAACAACUACAAACUUUUUACAAAUAAAAAAAAUUUUUACAGUACAUAGUAUUUUAUAAAAAAUUUACUUAUUAACUCAUAACCGCAAGGGUCAAAUUUUCCAGCCUUUUCAAGAAAUGGUAAUCUCAUAUCCCUUUUGCAUCAUGGAGAAGCAACAAAACCAUAGCAAACUAAACUCCCGAACGACUAUGAGCUACUAACCUUUAAAAAUCAAUGUUUCACAAUUGAUAAAGUAAUUUUUAGUAGAAGUAACAAGCCUUUCAUAUAGUCACAUAGCUGGUUUUUCUUUAAAAGCAUCAAAGUGCCGCCUUAUAGAUAUAAGUGUCACAACACCAACACUAUAAAGUUUAAUUUGUUGAGGAUAAGCUCAGCAAAAACACAAAAAAUACCUUAUUUUCCUUAAUUUUUUAAGUAGGCCUAAAAGCAGCCAUCUAACAACGUUCUAGUUACAACACUCAAACACCUAAUAUUUAUAUACACCAUUUUCACCCUUAAAGAAAUUUAUUGUAUAACGCUAUACAAUAAUAAACAGGCAUCCUAUUAGUAUUAACAUAAUUUAUCUUUCGUUAACCUUAAAAAACUCGAAUCAUUAAAUUUUCUAUUCUACUAAACUUAUAUAAAGCGAACUCGGCAAAUAAAUUCCCUGCCUGUUUACCAAAAACAUCGUCUUUUGAACCCUUCUACAUAAAAGAUAAUGCCUGCCCAGUGAAAUUUUAAACGGCCGCGUUAGCGUGAGCGUGCUAAGGUAGCGUAAUAAUUAGCCUUUUAAUUGGAGGCCAGUGAAUGGCAAGACUAGGAAUAGCUGUACUUUGUAUACAAAAAGAACUUUUCGUCCAAGUGAAAAGACUUAGAUAACAAAGGAAGACGAAAAGACCCCGCGGAACUUUACCUCUUCUUGUAUUUCUGUUUACAUACUUAAAAAUACAUGAGGUUUGAUUGGGGCAAUCUUGGAACCAAUAAAGCUUCCAAUUUUUAUUAAAAAAUAUUUAAAAUUUAUUAAGGACUAAAAAGUAGUUACCCCGGGGAUAACAGCGUAAUCCAACUUAAGAGUACACAUCGAAAGUUGGGUUUGCGACCUCGAUGUUGGCUUAAGGAUAUCCACAUAAGUGCAACCGCUAUGACAGGAUAGUCUGUUCGACUACUACACCCUUACACGAGCUGAGUUAAGACCGGCGCAAGCUAGGUUGGUUUCUAUCUCCUUUACUUAUAAACCUUUUCUUGAUUGUACGAAAGGACCCCAAGAAGUGCAUCUAAUAAAAGCAUCAGUAAACACCCAUCAAAUUUUACCUCAAUCCUUAA